AUCUAGCUGACGAGUCCCAAAUAGGACGAAACACGCGUCAAACUGGAU
rnacentral:hammerhead_ribozyme from 1 species